GACGAACGCUGGCGGCGUGCUUAACACAUGCAAGUCGAACGCUGAAGCUCAGCUUUUGUUGGGUGGAUGAGUGGCGAACAGGUGAGUAACACGUGAGUAACCUGCCUCCUUCUUUGGGAUAACGCCCGGAAACGGGUGCUAAUACUGGAUAUUCACUGGUCUUCGCAUGGGGGUUGGUGGAAAGGGUUUUUCUGGUGGGGGAUGGGCUCGCGGCCUAUCAGCUUGUUGGUGGGGUGAUGGCCUACCAAGACUUUGACGGGUAGCCGGCCUGAGAGGGUGACCGGUCACAUUGGGACUGAGAUACGGCCCAGACUCCUACGGGAGGCAGCAGUGGGGAAUAUUGCACAAUGGGCGCAAGCCUGAUGCAGCGACGCUGCGUGAGGGAUGGAGGCCUUCGGGUUGUGAACCUCUUUCGCUCAUGGUCAAGCCGCAACAAUGGUUGUGGUGAGGGUAGUGGGUAAAGAAGCGCCGGCUAACUACGUG
rnacentral:rRNA from 1 species